CUGGCGGGCUUUGUGCGCAGGCGCUUUUGGCUUCGCGGGGCUGCCCGUGCGCUUCGCCUGCGGGGUCGUGCUGGGGCGGCGGGUAUGCUAUUUGAAGAACAGGUUUCCAUGCUCUUAGAGGAACAUCAGAAAAUGAACAAACCCCAGAAGUCCAGAAAUUAAGAGACCUGAUAAAGGGAAGCCAGGAAAAUUGAGAUACAUAUUUGUGGUACCCUUCAGUCCUCAGUAACAACACACUGACUAAGAAGAGGGAAUACGUUUUUGGGAAAAACCUUAAUCUGGGUGCAAACCCAGUUUCUUCAAGAAAAAUAGCCUGUUAGUAUGACUCAUGUGGAAUGAGUUUGAAUACGUUUCAGAAUCAAGUAUUAGUGAUAAAAAUUAUUCCAGUAAUAACACUGAUGAAAUUAAUAUAAGUGAGAAGUUGCCUUUUGAUAGUAAUCAGGAAAACACUCAUACUGGGAAGAAAUCUGUUGUAUAUAACCAAAGUGGGAAGUCACCAAGUCAUAGUGAGGACCUUAUUGAGGAACAGGAAAUUCAAGCUUUAGCCCACCUUUGGAAGAUAAUGAACAUGGAAAUCCCUUCCUUGAGAAGGUAGCCACCAUCACACAAGAGACAGCUCAAACAAGAGAGAAACCCUGUGAUUAUAAGGAGCAUGGGGAAAAUGUCAGUGCCACAUCAACUCCCAAAGUUCAUCAAGAAACUCACACAAGGAAGAAUCACUCUGAAGUUAACGAGUGUGAGAAGUCAACCUUCUUCAAACAUCAGAAAGUUAAUACAGGGGUGAAAACCCAGGGAGCUAAUGAAAAUGAGAAUUUCAGUCACAAGUCACAUCUCAGUCUACCUCAUAGAACUCACACAGUAGAGAAAACUUUUGAAUGUAGUCAUUGCAAGAAAUCUUUUUGCCAGGAGUCCCACCUCACUGAGCAUCACAGGACAUGCACAAGAGAGAAACCAUGUGAAAGUAAUAAAUAUGGGAAAACCUUCCAGAAAUGACAACUUACCAACUCUCAGAUAAUGCAUCGAGAAGAGAAACCCCAUGAAUCUGGUAAAACCCUUGUGAAGUCAGCCCUCACUGAUCACCAGAUAAGUCAGUCAGAAAAGAAGCUUUAUGUAUGUAGUGACUAAGAAACCUUUUUGUCAUAGCUCAGUCCUAAGAGUCCAUCAGAGAAUUCACACAGGGGAGAAACCCUAUCAGUGUAAUGGGAAAUCCUAAGCAAAAUCAAACUUCAGUCAUCAUCAGAGAACUCACACAGGGGAGAAACCAUAUGAAUGUAAGGAAUGUAGGAAAUCCUUCCAUGUGAAACCAAACCUCACUAAACAUCAGAAAACACAUAUAGGGGAGAAACCUUUCAAAUGUACUGCAUGUGGGAGAACUUUCUUCCAGCAGUCACAAUUCGCUGAUUAUUAGAGAAAACACACAGGAGAGAAAUCCUGCAAAUGUAAUAAAUUUGUCGGCUGGGCGCGGUGGCUCAUGCCUGUAAUCCCAGCACUUUGGGAGGCCAAGGCGGGCAGAUCACGAGGUCAGGAGAUCGAGACCAUCCUGGCUAACACAGUGAAACCCUGUCUGUACUAAAAAUACAAAAAAUUAGCUGAGUGUGGUAGCAGGUGCCUGUAGUCCCAGCUACUUGGGAGGCUGAGGCAGGAGAAUGGCGUGAACCCAGGAGGCAGAGCUUGCAGUGAGCCGAGAUCACGCCUCUGCACUCCAGCCUGGGCGACAGAGCGAGACUCCGUCUCAAAAAAAAAAAAAAACUUAAUGAAUGUGGAAAAUCAGUCCUUCUACUAUAAGUCAACCCUAAAUGUACAUCAGGGAAAGCACACAGAAGAGAAACCCUAUAAAUGUACUAAGUGUGAGAAAUCCUUCUCCUAUAAAUCAGCACUAAUUAUACAUGAGGAAACACAGAUAAGAAACCCUAUGUGUGUAAUGAAUGUGUGAAAUCCUUUUGUGUGAAGUCAAGUCUCAGUAAACAUCAGAAAAUUCACAGCAGGGAAAAGCCGUAUGAAUGUAGUGAAUGUGGAAAAUCUCUAUGAAUUCAAUCCUCAUUGUGUAUCAGAGAACUCACACUGGGGAGAAACCCUAUGGAUGUAAUGAAUGUGAGAAGUCCUUCUACAACAAGGAUGCCCUCACUAAACAUAACAGAACUCACACGGGAGAGGCCACAUAAAUGUAAUGAACGUAGGAAGUCCUUACAACCCUAGUUAUACACCAGAGAACUCACACUGGAGAGAAACCUUACAAAUGUAAUGAGUGUGAAAAAUCCUUCUAUCUGAAGUCACAUCUUUUUUUUUUUUUUUUUUUUAAUUUUUUGAGAUGGAGUCUCGCUCUGUCACCCAGGCUGGAGUGCAGUGGCGUGAUCUUGGCUCGCUGCAACCUCCACCUCCUGGGUUUAAGCGAUUGUCAUGCCUCAGCCUCCCAACUAGCUGGGAUUACAGGUGCCUGCCACCAUGCCCAGCUAAUUUUUGUAUUUUUAGUAGAGACAGGCUGGUCUCAAACCCCUGACCUCAAGUGAUCAGCCUGCCUUGGCCUCCCAAAGUGCUGGGAUUACAGGCAUGAGCUACUGCACUUGGCCUGAAGUCACAUCUUAAUAUUCAUCUGAGAAAUCACACAGGAAAGAGACCCCAUGUAUGUAAUGAAUGUGGGAAGGCCUUUUCUAUGAAGUCAAACUUCACUGAUCAUCAGAGAACGCACUGAGAAGAGAAAUCCUAUGAAUGUACCGAAUGUCAGAAAACUUUUCGCCAUAAAUCAACCCUAACAGUACAUCAGAGAACUCAUGUGGGGAGAAGCCUUAUAAUUUUAUGAAUGUAGAAAAUCUUUCUAUAUGAAGUCAGCCCUCAGUCAGCAUCAGAGAAUACAUAUAUGGGAGGAACACUGUGAAUGUAAAGAAUGUGGGAAAACCUACCAGAGGUCACACCUUGCUAAACAUCAUCGAACAUACACCACGCAAGAAACCCUAUGAAUGUAAGCAAUGUGGAAAAACCUUCCAGAAGUCACACCUCAUUGAACAUCAGAGGACACACCCAGGGGAGAUACCCCAUGAAUGUAAUAAAUGUGGGAAAUCCUUCUGUUAUAAGUCACCCUUGACCAUUCACCAGAGAACUCACAUAGAAGAGAAGCCCUAUAAAUGUAGCAAAUCUGAUACUUAUUUCUGUAUGAAAUCACACCUCACUGUGCAUCAGAGACCCCAUACCAGGAAGAACCCUUUUGAGUGUAAUGAAUGCAGGAAAAUGUUUUAUGUGAAGUCAAACCUCAUCAAUCAUCAGAGAACUCACACAGGGGAGAAGCCAUAUGAAGGCAAUACAUGUGGGAAAUCUGUAUGAAGUCAUCCUCCACACAAGAGUGAUACUCUGAAUUGUAACAAAUAUGGGAAAUCCUCAUGUGUAAAGUCAAUUUGUUUUUCAAACCAAAAUUCAUGGUAGAAACCUUAUGAAUGUAAAUAAUGUAGGGGUCUCCUGUGUAAAUUAAAUCCUUAGUUGGCAUCAGAAAACACAAGAUAUAGGGACUGGAGGCCUCUCCACAAAUGAAAUGGAUAUGGGAAGAUUUUGUGUUAUCUUAGAAAAUACUGGCCGGGCAUGGUGGCUCACACCUGUAAUCCCAGCACUUUGGGAGGCUGAGGCAGAUGGAUCACCUGAGGUCAGGAGUUCAAGACCAACCUGGCCAACAUGAGGAAACUCCAUCUCUACUAAAAAUACAAAAAUUAGCCAGGCAUGGUGGCAAAUGCCUGUAAUCCUAGCUACUUGGGAGGCUGAGGCAGGAGAAUUGCUUGAACCUGGGAGGCGGAGGUUGCAGUGAGCGAAGAUCAUGCCAUUGCACUCCAGCCUGGGUGACAAGAAUGAAAACUCCAUCUCAAAAAAAAAAAAAAUACAGAAAACUCAAAUGAGGAGAGACCCCUGAGAACAUCUUGUAUAUUAGUAUCCACCAAGGAAUCAAAUACAGUAUGUUUCACAUAAAUCACAGGGAAAAACCGAUAGAACAGUAAUAUAAAAGCAUUUACUAAGUUCCAGCACAUUUGCACAGCAUAUGAUUGAUACUGGUGUAAAACUAUGUUUUCUAUGCGUGAAAGCUUUCAGGAAAAAUUCAAAUAUAAGCAGACAAUUAAUACUGAGGGGACGUCUAUCAGUUUAGGAGAUAGAGAUACUUUAUUUUUUUGAGAUGGAGUCUCGCUCUGUCGCCCAGGCUGGAGUGCAGUGGCGUGAUCUCAGCUCACUGCAAGCUCCGCCUCCCGGGCUCACGCCAUUCUCCUGCCUCGGCCUCCCAAGUAGCUGGGACUACAGGCACCCGCCACCAUACCCGGCUAAUUUUUGUAUUUUUAGUAGAGAUGGGGUUUCACCAUGUUAGCCAGGAUGAUCUCGAUCUCCUGACCUUGUGAUCCAUCCGCCUUGGCCUCCCAAAGUGCUGGGAUUACAGGCGUGAGCCACUGCGCCUGGCCGAGAUACUUUUUUUUCCCCUACAAAUACUGUAAUACUAGAAGUCACAUUUCAGGUACCAAAUUUAGAACAUGUGAUAUGUGAUGCAUCCAAUGCUAAUGACAUUCACUGUUGGAAUAUGAAGUCUUUUGAAAAACAAUUUGCAGCAGCAAGCUGACAGUAUUCGAUAUUUGAGUACUUGAGGUAAGAUGGCCUUACAUUUGUUAGUGGGCAGCAUACAACAUACAUACAUGGCCUGUGUUUGAUUUACAUAGUGGAACUCCACCGAGUGGUCAGCAGGAAAUCUCUCUCCAUAGCUUAAGAACUGUUGUAACACAUCUACCACACGAAAUGCCUCCAGUGUUUCUUUGUAUCUUUUUGUUUGUUUGUUUUUGGGUCAGAGUCUCGUUCUGUUGCCCAGGCUGGAGUGCAAUGGCACUAUCUCGCUUCACUGCCACGUCUGCCUCCCAGUUUCAAGUGAUUCUUCCUGCUUCAGCCUUAUGAGUAGCUGGAUUACAGGUGCCUGGCACUGUGCCCAGCUAUUUUUUGUAUUUUUAGUAGAGACAGGGUUUCUCCAUGUUGGCCAGGAUGGUCUCAAAACUCCUGACCUCAGGUGAUCUGCCCACCUUGGCCUCCCAAAGUGCUGGGAUUACAGGCAUGAGCCACUGUGCCCGGCCUCUUUGUAUCUUAAUAGUACAGUAUACCUGAUAUGUGACAUGUAUGACAUUUGCAGUACACAAUAUGUUAUUGAGAAAUGCAGAGUACAGAAAACUAUAUGGCUUGCUGCCUUUUGUGUGAGAAUUGAGGGGAAGAAAUAAUAUGUAUGUACAUAGAUAUUUUGUAUAUAUAUUUAUUUAUUAUAUAUGUUUAUAUAUUUUUUUAAUUUUUAAAUGUUUUGUAGAGAUGGGGCUCGCCAUGUUGCCCAGGCUGGUCUCGAACUCCUGGGCUCAAGCGGUCUUCCUGCCUCAGUCUUCCAAAGUGCUGAGAUUACAGGCAUGAGCUACUGUGCUUGGCCAAUAUAUUUUAUAUAAUAUAUAUAUUUUGCAAAUAAGUAUAAAGUACAAACUACAAACCUGAAGCGUAAGUUACAAACUCAAAAGUGAAUACCUAUGGAGAUAGGAGUGAACAGGGUGGCGGGGCUGAGGAUAGAGACAAGGCUUCUUCACAUGUACCUUUUUGUGAAGUUAUGACUUUUGGAUAAAUAUGAGUAAUUUACAUACUCAAAAGCACAUUUUGAAAUGGAAAGCAAAGAAGAAAUCAACUGAAGUUUAUAUCAAAUGGGUAACUCCACUAAGUAGAAGAGCUCAUUCUUUCAAGAGACUUUUAAAUGCAGUAUGAUGAGCAUAUCCUUAGUGGGAUUUGUUUCUGUUUUAGGACAAAAAGAACUUAAAAAAUGACAUUUAAAAGACACCUGGCUAGGUCUCUUCAAAAAGCUGACUUUUUUUUUUUUUUUUUUGAGACAGAGUCUCACUCUGUUGCCCAGGCUGGAGUGCAGUGGCGUGAUCUCGGCUCACUGCCAGCUCUGCCUCCUGGGUUCACACCAUUCUCCUGCCUCAGCCUCCCGAGUAGCUGGGACUACAGGUGCCCACCACCACACCCGGCUAAUUUUUUGUAUUUUAGUAGAGAUGGGGUUUCACUGUGUUAGCCAGGAUGGUCUCCAUCUCCUGACCUCGUGAUCUGCCCGCCUCGGCCUCCCAAAGUGCUGGGAUUACAGGUGUGAGCCACCACACCCAGCUGCUGCCAUCAUUUUUAAAAGGAGAGAAAAGGUGGAGGGACUAUUUUUCAAGGGCAAACAUGCUGAAUAUAGAAAGAUGAACUGGCUUGAUGUCUGCAGCCUUGAAGUGGUUCAGGAAAAAGAUGCAUGCAUAGAUAAAGCAAAAAUGGCAAAAUUUAAGCAAGUCUUGAUCUGGCAGGCACAUGGGUAUUGACUGUUUUUCUUACAAGAGUUGUGUUUGAAAAAUUUGAUAAUAAAAAGUUUUGGAGAAGUACUGUACCACUUAGCAAUUCUGUUACUGUUCCUUGGUGUAUAUAAAUAUCUCUGCCCGUGGUUAUUGAUCUGCUUGUCAAUAAAGAAGCCAAA